rnacentral:rRNA from 1 species
CAGCCGUAAACAAUGUGCGUUAGGUGUGUCGGUAACCACGCGCUACUGAUGCGCCGAAGAGAAAUCGUGAAACGCACCACCUGGGAAGUACGGUCGCAAGGCUGAAACUUAAAGGAAUUGGCGGGGGAGCACCACAACAGGUGGAGCCUGCGGUUUAAUUGGACUCAACGCCGGGAAGCUCACCGGAUAGGACAGCAGAAUGAUUGCCGGGCUGAAGACCCUGCAUGACCAGCUGAGAGGUGGUGCAUGGCGUAGUCGUGU